UGCGCAGCUUAACAUGCAAGUCGAACGGUAACGCGGGGCAACCUGGCGACGAGUGGCGAACGGGUGAGUAAUGCAUCGGAACGUGCCCAGUAGUGGGGGAUAGCCCGGCGAAAGCCGGAUUAAUACCGCAUACGACCUACGGGUGAAAGGGGGGGAUCGCAAGACCUCUCGCUAUUGGAGCGGCCGAUGUCAGAUUAGCUAGUUGGUGGGGUAAAGGCCUACCAAGGCGACGAUCUGUAGCUGGUCUGAGAGGACGACCAGCCACACUGGGACUGAGACAUGGCCCAGACUCCUACGGGAGGCAGCAGUGGGGAAUUUUGGACAAUGGGCGAAAGCCUGAUCCAGCCAUGCCGCGUGCGGGAAGAAGGCCUUCGGGUUGUAAACCGCUUUUGUCAGGGAGGAAAUCCUAACGGUUAAUACCUGUUGGGGAUGACAGUACCUGAAGAAUAAGGACCGGCUAACUACGUGCCAGCAGCCGCGGUAAUACGUAGGGUCCAAGCGUUAAUCGGAAUUACUGGGCGUAAAGCGUGCGCAGGCGGUGAUGUAAGACAGAGGUGAAAUCCCCGGGCUCAACCUGGGAACUGCCUUUGUGACUGCAUCGCUGGAGUACGGCAGAGGGGGAUGGAAUUCCGCGUGUAGCAGUGAAAUGCGUAGAUAUGCGGAGGAACACCGAUGGCGAAGGCAAUCCCCUGGGCCUGUACUGACGCUCAUGCACGAAAGCGUGGGGAGCAAACAGGAUUAGAUACCCUGGUAGUCCACGCCCUAAACGAUGUCAACUGGGUUGUUGGGUCUUC
rnacentral:rRNA from 1 species